rnacentral:tRNA from 1 species
GCCCGGCUAGCUCAAUCGGUAGAGCGUGAGACUCUUACGCCUAAUAAGCGAAGGUCCACAUAUCUCAAGGUUGUGGGUUCGACCCCCACGUCGGGCU